AUCCAGCUGAAAAGUCCCAAAUAGGAUGAAACGCGCAUUCUGGAU
rfam:Schistosoma haematobium scaffold1161_6, whole genome shotgun sequence.